rnacentral:rRNA from 1 species
UGUAAGACCGUGGGUGGGGCCGGUGGAAUAGGGAGGGUGAUAGCGUUAGUCGGCAGUACUGGGCGUGAAGCGGACGCAGGCGGUUGGAUAAGGUAGAUGUGAAAGCCCCGGGCUCAACCUGGGAAUUGUAUUUAAAACUGUCCAGCUAGUGUCUUGUAGAGGGGGGUAGAAUUCCAGGUGUAGCGGUGAAAUGCGUAGAGAUCUGGAGGAAUACCGGUGGCGAAGGCGGCCCCCUGGACAAAGACUGACGCUCAGGUGCGAAAGCGUGGGGAGCAAACAGGAUUAGAUACCCGGGUAGUC